CCUACGGGUGGCAGCAGUGGGGAAUAUUGCACAAUGGGGGAAACCCUGAUGCAGCGACGCCGCGUGAGUGAAGAAGUAUUUCGGUAUGUAAAGCCCUAUUAGCAGGGAAGAAAAUGACGGUACCUGACUAAGAAGCCCCGGCUAACUACGUGCCAGCAGCCGCGGUAAUACGUAGGGGGCAAGCGUUAUCCGGAUUUACUGGGGGUAAAGGGAGCGUAGACGGCAGCGCAAGUCUGAAGUGAAAUGCCGGGGCUUAACCCCGGAACUGCGUUGGAAACUGUGCAGCUAGAGUGCAGGAGAGGUAAGUGGAAUUCCUAGUGUAGCGGUGAAAUGCGUAGAUAUUGGGAGGAACACCAGUGGCGAAGGCGGCUUACUGGACUGUAACUGACGUUGAGGCUCGAAAGCGUGGGGAGCAAACAGGAUUAGAUACCCUAGUAGUC
rnacentral:rRNA from 1 species